rnacentral:rRNA from 1 species
GACGAACGCUGGCGGCGUGCUUAACACAUGCAAGUCGAACGGAAAGGCCCCCUUGUGGGGUACUCGAGUGGCGAACGGGGGGGUAACACGUGAGUAACCUACCCUUUACUUUGGGAUAACUUCAGGAAACUGGGGCUAAUACCGGAUAGGAGCUCCUGCCGCACGGUGGGGGUCGGAAAGUCUCGGGGGUUGGGGAUGGACUGGCGGCUUAUCAGCUUGUUGGUGGGGUAGGGGCUCACCAAGCCUUUGACGGGUAGUCGGCCUGAGAGGGUGGCCGGCCACCAUAGGACUGAGAUACGGCCCAGUCUCCUACGGGAGACAGCGGUGGGGAAUAUUGCACAAUGGGCGGGAGCCUGAUGCGGCAACGCCGGGUGCGGGAUGACGGCCUUCGGGUUGUAAACCGCUUUCGCCUGUGACGAAGCGUGAGUGACGGUAAUGGGUGAAGAAGCACCGGCUAACUACGUG